AGGUAUUUUACCUGUAACAAGAAAAUUAACAAUAUUAGCAUACCAUGGCAUUGAAGUAACAGAAAAUAAAAAUUCAUCAGGGAAAGAAUCAUUUAUGGGUGUUAUAUCAUUGCAGAAUUCGGAUGUAAGUCUUGAUAGAUGAUCAGCAACAACAUUUUCAGCACCCUUUUUAUCUUUGAUGGUAAGGUCAAAUUCUUGUAGUAACAAAAUCCAACGAAUUAGUCUCGGUUUGGCAUCCUGUUUACUCAUCAAAUAUCUCACAGCAGCAUGGUCAGUAAACACAACAGAUUUAGAGCCAAGCAAAUAUGAACGGAAUUUGUUUAAUGCAAAUACCACAGCAAGUAAUUCUUUUUCAGUUGUAGAAUAAUUCAUUUGAGCACUAUCCAAAGUCUUGCUCGCAUAAUAAAUCACAAAAGGCUUACCAUCCCUUCUUUGUCCUAAAACAGCACCAACAGCAAAAUCACUUGCAUCACACAUUAAUUCAAAUGGCAAAGACCAAUCAGGAGAUUGCAUAAUAGGUGCAGAUGUUAAAAGACAAAUUAUUUUUUCAAAAGAUUUUUGGCAAUCAUCAUUCCAUUCAAACGGUGCAUCUUUUAAUAAGAGGUUACAAAGUGGUUUAGAUAUGGCACUAAAGUUUUUUAUAAACCUCCUAUAAAAUCCUGCAUGUCCUAAAAAGGAUCGCACAUCUCUAACUGUUUUUGGUUGUGGCAAUUUAGAUAUGACUUCGAUUUUUGCUUUGUCAACUUCAAUUCCUCUGCUGUACCGUACAUCCGCCUUGGCCGUACAGCAGAACUAUGUACAGUGCAUCAAUCUAAAGAAAAAAAUCAAACAAUGAAACGGUAAAAUAAUAGUAAAACAAAAAAAAAUCAUUAAAGACUUAAUCAAGAACUGGUGGGUCAUCCAAAUUAAUUUCGGUGUCCUCGUCACGUGGGUGAUGUUCCAGAUAUGGUUUUAAUCUUUGACCAUUAACUUUAAAUGUGACACCGUUAUUUGGAUUCUCAAUUUCUAUGGCCCCAUAUGAAUAUACAUUUUUUACAACAAAUGGGCCACUCCAUUUUGACUUUAACUUUCCUGGAAAUAAAUGAAGACGAGAAUUAUAAAGCAACACUUUUUGACCAAUCUCAAAUGUUUUUCGAAAAAUUCUUUUAUCAUUAAUUCACCUUUUUCAUUUUUAACAACAGUGAUUCCAGAUUUUUUAGACACUACUUGUGUAGAACUUACCCACUUACUAUCAGAAAUAGGGUAGAUAAUUCCCACAUCAAGCAAUUUAAGGACUUCUGUUUUGACUACCUCUUUCAUGUGUGGGUUUAAUCUUCUUUGAGGUUGUUGACAUGUUUUAGCAUUUUCUUCCAAAUUAAUUCUAUGCAUGCAAAUUAAGGGAUUAAUGCCUUUAAUAUCAUUUAAAGUCCAUCCUAUUGCAUUUUUAUGCUUUUUAAGAACAGUAAGUAACUUACCUUCUUGGUUGCUUGUUAAAGUAGAAGAAAUCACAACAGGAUAAGUUUGUUCUUCUCCAAGAAAAACAUAUUUCAAUCCUUCAGGCAAAGGUUUUAAUUCCAUUUUAGGUGCUUCUUGUUGUUCUGUCUUUUCAAUACUUUCAAGCUCCUCAAAUUUUGGCUCGCCAUCAUAAUUUUGUGAAGUCUGCACAGAAUCAAGCAACGAAUUUAUAUUAGAAAUAUCAAGUUCAAGUUGCUUAUUUGACUUAAUUGAAUUAACUAAACAAACAUUAGAAAGUUCAGAAAAAUCCCCUUUUUGAAUAUUUUCCUCGAUACAAGAUUCAAACAAUUCCUUUUGUUCAUCAGUAUCAUCUUCAUUCUCAUUUUCUUCAUUAGGUUGCCUGCACAUGUUGAAAACAUUCAAUUCCAAAGUCAUAUUCCCAAAGGAUAAAUUCAUUAAACCAUUCCUACAAUUAAUCAAAGCAUUAGCAGUUGCUAAAAAUGGUCGACCUAAAAUUACAGGAAUUGGUUUGUAAUUAUUCACAACAGGUUCAGUUUCCAAGACAAUAAAAUCCACAGGAUAAAUAAAUUUAUCAACUUGUACUAAAACAUCUUCCACUAUUCCUUUUGGUACUUUAACUGAUCUAUCGGCAAGCAAAAGUGUAGUUGAAGUUGAUUUUAACUCACCAAGAUUAAGUUGAAGAUAAACUGAAUAUGGAAGCAAAUUAACACUAGCACCAAGAUCUAGUAAAGCAUGCUCAAUUCUGUGGUUACCAAUAAUACAAGAAAUGGUAGGACAACCAGGAUCUUUAUAUUUCAACUUAUUAUUAGUAGACAGAAUUGUACUUACCUGUUCGGCCAUGAAAGCACUCUUUCUUACCUUCAAUUUCCUCUUAACAGUGCACAAGUCCUUUAAAAAUUUGGCAUAUGAAGGAACCUGCUUGAUUGCAUCUAAUAGAGGAAUGUUAACUUUCACUUGCUUAAAGAUUUCAUAAAUUUCAGAAGCUGCUGUACGGCCAAGGCGGAUGUACGGUACAGCAGUUCUUUGUCCUAAAACAGCACCAACAGCAAAAUCACUUGCAUCACACAUUAAUUCAAAUGGCAAAGACCAAUCAGGAGAUUGCAUAAUAGGUGCAGAUGUUAAAAGACAAAUUAUUUUUUCAAAAGAUUUUUGGCAAUCAUCAUUCCAUUCAAACGGUGCAUCUUUUAAUAAGAGGUUACAAAGUGGUUUAGAUAUGGCACUAAAGUUUUUUAUAAACCUCCUAUAAAAUCCUGCAUGUCCUAAAAAGGAUCGCACAUCUCUAACUGUUUUUGGUUGUGGCAAUUUAGAUAUGACUUCAAUUUUUGCUUUGUCAACUUCAAUUCCUUUAAUAGAAACAACAUGACCCAAAACAAUUCCAGAAGUAACCAUGUAGUGACAUUUUUCCCAAUUCAACACGAGUUCUUUUUCAACACAUCUUUUUAA
rnacentral:lncRNA from 1 species